GACGAACGCUGGCGGCGUGCUUAACACAUGCAAGUCGAACGGAAAGGCCCUGCUUGCAGGGUACUCGAGUGGCGAACGGGUGAGUAACACGUGGGUGAUCUGCCCUGCACUUCGGGAUACGCCUGGGAAACUGGGUCUAAUACCGGAUAGGAGCCAUUUUUAGUGUGAUGGUUGGAAAGUUUUUUCGGUGUAGGAUGAGCUCGCGGCCUAUCAGCUUGUUGGUGGGGUAAUGGCCUACCAAGGCGGCGACGGGUAGCCGGCCUGAGAGGGUGGACGGCCAGAUUGGGACUGAGAUACGGCCCAGACUCCUACGGGAGGCAGCAGUGGGGAAUAUUGCACAAUGGGCGCAAGCCUGAUGCAGCGACGCCGCGUGGGGGAUGACGGCCUUCGGGUUGUAAACUCCUUUCGCUAGGGACGAAGCUUUUUGUGACGGUACCUAGAUAAGAAGCACCGGCUAACUACGUG
rnacentral:rRNA from 1 species